AUACUUACCCAAUAGGGGAGAUACCACGAUCACGAAGGUGGUUUCCCCAGGGUGAGGCUUAUCCAUUGCACUCUGGAUGUGCUGAUCCCUGUGAUUUCCCCAAAUGUGGGAAAUUCAACAGCACAAUUUGUGGUAGUGGGGGACUACAUUCGUGGUAUCCCCUG